rnacentral:sRNA from 1 species
UCUAGAAACAAAUACUGCAGGAAGGCC